GACGAACGCUGGCGACGUGCUUAACACAUGCAAGUCGAACGGAGAAUUUAUUUCGGUAAAUUCUUAGUGGCGAACGGGUGAGUAACGCGUGGGCAACCUGCCCUUCAGAUGGGGACAACAUCCCGAAAGGGGUGCUAAGACCGAAUACGCUCACGCUGCCGCAUGGCGGUGUGAUGAAAGAUGGCCUCUAUUUAUAAGCUAUCGCUGAAGGAUGGGCCUGCGUCUGAUUAGCUAGUUGGUGGGGUAACGGCCUACCAAGGCGAUGAUCAGUAGCCGGUCUGAGAGGAUGAACGGCCACAUUGGGACUGAGACACGGCCCAAACUCCUACGGGAGGCAGCAGUUGGGAAUAUUCCGCAAUGGACGAAAGUCUGACGGAGCAGCGCCGCGUGAGUGAUGAAGGUUUUCGGACUGUAAAGCUCUGUUGUUUAGGACGAAAGUGCCUGUUGCAAAUAGUUGCAGGUAUUGACGGUACUGAACGAGGAAGCCACGGCUAACUACGUGCCAGCAGCCGCCGUAA
rnacentral:rRNA from 1 species